GGCCACUGCUAUGGGGGUCCGACUAAGCCAUGCGAGUCAUGGGGCGCCUUGCGCGCACCGGCGGACGGCUCAGUAACACGUCGGUAACCUACCCUCGGGAGGGGGAUAACCCCGGGAAACUGGGGCUAAUCCCCCAUAGGCCUGAGGUACUGGAAGGUCCUCAGGCCGAAAGGGACUCUGUCCGCCCGAGGAUGGGCCGGCGGCCGAUUAGGUAGUUGGUGGGGUAACGGCCCACCAAGCCGAAGAUCGGUACGGGCCAUGAGAGUGGGAGCCCGGAGAUGGACACUGAGACACGGGUCCAGGCCCUACGGGGCGCGGCAGGCGCGAAACCUCCGCAAUGCGGGCAACCGCGACGGGGGGACCCCCAGUGCCGUGGCAUCGCCACGGCUUUUCCGGAGUGUAAAGAGCUCCGGGAAUAAGGGCUGGGCAAGGCCGGUGGCAGCCGCCGCGGUAAUACCGGCGGCCCGAGUGGUGGCCGCUAUUAUUGGGCCUAAAGCGUCCGUAGCCGGGCCCGUAAGUCCCUGGCGAAAUCUCGCGGCUCAACCGUGGGGCUUGCUGGGGAUACUGCGGGCCUUGGGACCGGGAGAGGCGGAGGGUACCCCUGGGGUAGGGGUGAAAUCCUGUAAUCCCAGGGGAACCGCCAGUGGCGAAGGCGCUCCGCUGGAACGGGUCCGACGGUGAGGGACGAAGGCCAGGGGAGCAAACCGGAUUAGAUACCCGGGUAGUCCUGGCUGUAAAGGAUGUGGGCUAGGUGUCGGGUGAGCUUCGUGCUCGCCCGGUGCCGAAGGGAAGCCGUUAAGCCCGCCGCCUGGGGAGUACGGCCGCAAGGCUGAAACUUAAAGGAAUUGGCGGGGGAGCACUACAAGGGGUGGAGCGUGCGGUUU
rnacentral:rRNA from 1 species